rnacentral:rRNA from 1 species
UAAGUGAUUAAGACCCCUGAAAGACUAACAGGUUGAUAGGUCCAAGGUGUAAGAGCAGUAAUGUUUUCAGCUGAUGGAUACUAAUAGGUCGAGGGCUUGACCAC